UUCUGCGGAUGUAGUACGCCAUCAAAUCCACAGAAAAAUAAGUCAGUCUGUCUGUCAGCCGAUGAUGAAUAACAGAGGAUUUUUGAAAACACCGGCGGGUCUGUAACAAAGUUGCUUUGAUGAUGCUAGCUUGAUUUUCUGAAUAAAACUGUAAACUGGAAUUGUGGGCAAUUUUCAUUCAGCAAGGCAGGGAUUCCUUACUCACUCAGUGCCAGGAUCACGCUGCUGUGGACUGUGCCAAUGAUAAUCACGAAAGUCUGAGCUAGCUGUCUACUGAAAACCAAGCUGAUGACUGCCAGAGACCCAGCGGCACUCAUGAGGAUGACCCCGCCUUCGGUGAACACUGGCAUGGACCCAGGGGCUCCAGCCAUUGUAAGGCCCUACAUUAAUCAGUCCCUGAAUACGACCAUAAUAUAAUAUUCAAUCUGACUCAAUUUCCUUGUAAAUGCUACAGACCCAUGUAGGUAAUAUUUUAUAAUGUGUGUCACGUUCUGACCAGUAAAGGGGUUAUUUGUUAUUGGAGUUUGGUCAG